rnacentral:rRNA from 1 species
GAUGAACGCUGGCGGCGUGCCUAAUACAUGCAAGUCGAGCGAACGGACGAGAAGCUUGCUUCUCUGAUGUUAGCGGCGGACGGGUGAGUAACACGUGGAUAACCUACCUAUAAGACUGGGAUAACUUCGGGAAACCGGAGCUAACACCGGAUAGUAUUUUGAACCGCAUGGUUCAAAAGUGAAAGACGGUCUUGCUGUCACUUAUAGAUGGAUCCGCGCUGCAUUAGCUAGUUGGUAAGGUAACGGCUUACCAAGGCAACGAUGCAUAGCCGACCUGAGAGGGUGAUCGGCCACACUGGAACUGAGACACGGUCCAGACUCCUACGGGAGGCAGCAGUAGGGAAUCUUCCGCAAUGGGCGAAAGCCUGACGGAGCAACGCCGCGUGAGUGAUGAAGGUCUUCGGAUCGUAAAACUCUGUUAUUAGGGAAGAACAUAUGUGUAAGUAACUGUGCACAUCUUGACGGUACCUAAUCAGAAAGCCACGGCUAACUACGUG